rnacentral:rRNA from 1 species
UACGAAGGGUGCAAGCGUUACUCGGAAUUACUGGGCGUCAAGGGCGCGUAGGCGGCGUGUCAAGUCAAUUGUGAAAUCUCCGAGCUUAACUCGGAACGGUCAAUUGAUACUGAUGUGCUAGAGUGCAGAAGGGGCAAUCGGAAUUCUUGGUGUAGCGGUGAAAUGCGUAGAUAUCAAGAGGAACACCUGAGGUGAAGACGGGUUGCUGGGCUGACACUGACGCUGAGGCGCGAAAGCUAGGGUAGCAAACGGG